GAUGAAGAACGUAGCGAAAUGCGAUAAGUAAUGUGAAUUGCAGAAUUCAGUGAAUCAUCGAAUCUUUGAACGCACAUUGCGCCCCCUGGUAUUCCGGGGGGCAUGCCUGUCCGAGCGUCAUUACAACCCUCAAGCUCAGCUUGGUGUUGGGCCCCGCCGCCCCGGCGGGCCCUAAAGUCAGUGGCGGUGCCGUCCGGCUCCGAGCGUAGUAAUUCUUCUCGCUCUGGAGGUCCGGUCGUGUGCUCGCCAGCAACCCCCAAUUUUUUUCAGGUUGACCUCGGAUCAGGUAGGGAUACCCGCUGAACUUAAGCAUAUCAAUAAGCGGAGGG
rnacentral:misc_RNA from 1 species